UACAAAUUGGUGAAUAAUCAGAGAUUUUUCAGUGUUACCUUUAGAGAAGCAAGGAACUACCUUCAAAAAUCUCCUGCUAUAGGAAAUGGAAGGCUGUUUUUUCCUGAUGGUGCUAGGACAGAAAGUCAUUCAAUGAGGCCUGCAUCACCUACAUAUCUGUCAUCUUGGAUACUCAAGUUUAAGAGUGCCUUAACUGCAGCAACUUCAAAAGAGAUAAUUUCUACUGG